rnacentral:tRNA from 3 species
GGGGACGUAGCCAAGUGGUAAGGCAGGGGUCUGCAAAACCCUUAAGCGCGGGUUCGAUUCCCGCCGUCCCCU